UACGAAGGGGGCUAGCGUUGCUCGGAAUUACUGGGCGUAAAGGGCGCGUAGGCGGACAGUUUAGUCAGAGGUGAAAGCCCAGGGCUCAACCUUGGAACUGCCUUUGAUACUGACUGUCUUGAGUUCGGGAGAGGUGAGUGGAAUGCCGAGUGUAGAGGUGAAAUUCGUAGAUAUUCGGCGGAACACCAGUGGCGAAGGCGACUCACUGGCCCGAUACUGACGCUGAGGAGCGAAAGCGUGGGGAGCGAACAGG
rnacentral:rRNA from 1 species